AUUGAACGCUGGCGGCAUGCUUUACACAUGCAAGUCGAACGGCAGCGCGGGCUUCGGCCUGGCGGCGAGUGGCGAACGGGUGGGUAAUGCAUCGGAACGUGCCCAGUAGUGGGGGAUAGCCCGGCGAAAGCCGGAUUAAUACCGCAUACGACCUGAGGGUGAAAGCAGGGGACCGAAAGGCCUCGCGCUAUUGGAGCGGCCGAUGUCGGAUUAGCUAGUUGGUGGGGUAAAGGCUUACCAAGGCGACGAUCCGUAGCUGGUCUGAGAGGACGACCAGCCACACUGGGACUGAGACACGGCCCAGACUCCUACGGGAGGCAGCAGUGGGGAAUUUUGGACAAUGGGGGCAACCCUGAUCCAGCCAUGCCGCGUGCGGGAAGAAGGCCUUCGGGUUGUAAACCGCUUUUGUUCGGGAAGAAAUCCUCUGGGCUAAUACCCCGGGGGGAUGACGGUACCGGAAGAAUAAGCACCGGCUAACUACGUG
rnacentral:rRNA from 1 species